rnacentral:antisense_RNA from 1 species
UGUAAGCGUUUAGCGUACGCUGGCACAGUGCCGAGCGGACACAAUCGUCUUUACCAAAACGCACCACGCCAAUCAUCUCAUCCUCUUCAAAACGCGCCAGCGCAUCGGCAAGACCGGAUUUGACGCUGGCGGGCAGAUCGCACUGAGUGAUAUCACCGUUAACAAUCACCGUCACGUUCUCACCCAGACGGGUU